UUGGUAGUGUACAAAUGGUAGUGCACACUACCAAAUGUAUAAGUACUUAACAAUUAGGUAGUGUACAUUACUAGUUGGUAGUGUGCAAAUGGUAGUGCACACUACCAAAUGAAUAAGUACUUAACAACUAGGUAGUGUGCAAAUGGUAGUGCACACUACCAAAUGAAUAAGUACUUAACAACUAGGUAGUGUACACGACCUCAGCUAGGUAGUGUACACGACCUCAACUAGGUAGUGUACACUAUCAUUUUUGAAAGUAGUUUACAACAAUUUAAAAAAUUACAACAUUAUAACAUUGUCUAUGAACGGCAUUAAAUAUAUUUCAUACAUGUAUUGACUUAUAAUUGCAACAACUAUAAAAAUGCCCAAUCAUCAUACUCUGUUUCAAAAAAUUUCAACAUUGAAUUUUUUCAUGUUCGAAAUGUUUAACUUUGAUAUUUUUUCUAUUUUUUUGCCAUGGUAAAUAGUAAGUAGCUGAUUGAUUUUUGGAGCAAAUAUGUAACAAUGUUUUGUUGUUAUUAAACAUAUUGUAAAAUAUUGGGGCAUUUAUUCAUUUAUUUAUUAAAAUAAUAAGAUGCGAAGUGUCAUGCACUAUUGCAUCAUUUUUUUUUAUAAAAAUCAAUUAAUAUUUUUACAAAUAUCUCUAAUCUCUAAUAUACGUAGAUUAAUAUUGUUUUUGGAAAAAGAUAAAAUAUUUGAACAAGUUCUGGUUUCCUAAAAACGAAAUGAAUAUUUUAUCGUUUUUGAUUUCAUAUAUGUUGAAAUUAAAGACGUGACUUUUGUCCCAUUUAAAUCCAAGAGUAUGAAUCUGAAUUGAUUAAUGAUAACGACAAAUGUCUUUUCGUUUAGUAUUUGAGUCUUAGAUCGAAUUCAAUAUCGGCUAGAUUUCAAUCAAAGAGAACCAGAUAAGUUAUGUUUUUAAAUCAUGCUAACAACUGAUUUUUUCUUUACUAUGUGUUGUAGAUUGAUUGUUCAAUAAUUAUUUGAACUGUUUGUUUUGUGUAUUUCAAUACGAACGUGUUAAGUAUAAUAUAACUAUUUUUAUUUUACUAUUAAAAAUUCUUCCUAUUUUCAAGUCAUAAUCAGAUUUCCGUCGAUGUUGAUGCAUUGAAUCUCAACCAAUUUCAAUUUAUCAAUGACCACGGAAAUCAAAUCACGUUUGAAUCAUCGAUACAAACACAGAUAUAGGGGUAAAUAAAGUUUAUUUAAAAAAAACAAACAGUAUAAUGCCAUGUAGUCAAAUCUCUCAAUGCCGCUGAUAUGAUUCGGAUUGCCAUAUUAACAUAUUUUUGGGAUUUGUAAACUCGGACAUUGUGUUGAAAACAUUUAGAACUUGGAGAACGGAACAAUAUAUCUUUUCUAUUGGACAACAAAAAUUCAUACCAUAAAAUGUUGGAUUUUGGAUCAGCAUAAUACAAUUUGUGCAUUAUCAUGAUAUUUUGUUUUUAAAAAUAAUUUAUACUUCAUU